AUGGACGGUUGCUGGCGGCUCCCCGGAGGCCACGGCGGCGGCGCCGCCGGCCGCGUCGUCCGCGUGCACUUUCUGGACGCGGAUGCCACCGACGACUCCGACGAGGAGACGAACCGGCCUCAGCGACGCGGCGCGCGGCGAUGCGUGCGGGAGAUCGGCCUGCCGCGCGGGUUCUCUCUUCCGUCCGCCGCGGCGGGUGCGGUGAGCAGCUCCUCCCACUGGACGCGCGAGAAGAGGUUGAGGGCGGCCGCGGCCGGCAAGGCGCGUACGUUGGUGGCGUGCGGCGGGGAUGAUUGGUCCGCGGGGGCUAGGGCGGCCCGGCGAUUGCGCGGCGUGCGGCGCCGGCCGUGGGGCAAGUAUGCGGCGGAGAUCCGCGACCCGAAGCUGGGGCGGCGCGUCUGGCUUGGCACCUUCAACACCGCCGAGGAGGCCAAGUCCGUCUAUGACUCCGCCGUGCUCCGCCUCCGCGGCCCGAGCGCAGUCACUAAGGACACCGCGCCUUCCCCCUCGCCGCCCGUCUCCACCGUGACGGCGUCCGCGCCGUCGCCGUCGACAUCCGCGGCCUCUCCCCCGUCGCCCUCCACCACGGCGGCCCCUUCUCCGUCGCCCUACGGUAGGGCGGCCUCUCCCCCGUCGCCCUCCACCACGGCGACCUCUGCCCCGUCGCCCAUCAGCACGGCGGCCUCCCCCCCGUCGCCCUCCACCACGGCGGCCUCCCAGUCGGCGACCACCAGCUGGUCCUUGGUGAACGCGGACGAGGAGGUGACGGCAGCGUUCGGCCUGGGAUUCGUCGACGAGGAGACCUCCCUGAACAACCUGAUGCAGUUCUGCCUCCCCGCAGCGUGCAGCAGCAGGUGGGACCCCUCGGCGGACUUCGUGGAGCUGGCGGACCUCGACGACCUCUUCGCGCCGGAGCCCCUGGCGGCCUGA
rnacentral:rRNA from 1 species